AGCUUUCUGUAUCUGUGUUGAGAUUUCGUCACACACCAGACCACAAGGGCUGAUGAGACCAAUUUGGUCACAUUUAAAUCC
rnacentral:pre_miRNA from 1 species